UCCACUUUACACUAAGGUACGCUUUAUAACACCACUCCACUUUACACUAAGGUACGCUUUAUAACACCACUCCACUUCACACUAAGGUACGCUUUAUAACACCACUCCACUUCACACUAAGGUACGCUUUAUAACACCACUCCACUUUACACUAAGGUACGCUUUAUAACACCACUCCACUUCACACUAAGGUACGCUUUAUAACACCACUCCACUUUACACUAAGGUACGCUUUAUAACACCACUCCACUUCACACUAAGGUACGCUUUAUAACACCACUCCACUUUACACUAAGGUACGCUUUAUACACCACUCCACUUCACACUAAGGUACGCUUUAUAACACCACUCCACUUUACACUAAGGUACGCUUUAUAACACCACUCCACUUCACACUAAGGUACGCUUUAUAACACCACUCCACUUCACACUAAGGUACGCUUUAUAACACCACUCCACUUCACACUAAGGUACGCUUUAUAACACCACUCCACUUUACACUAAGGUACGCUUUAUAACACCACUCCACUUCACACUAAGGUACGCUUUAUAACACCACUCCACUUUACACUAAGGUACGCUUUAUAACACCACUCCACUUUACACUAAGGUACGCUUUAUAACACCACUCCACUUUACACUAAGGUACGCUUUAUAACACCACUCCACUUUACACUAAGGUACGCUUUAUUACACCACUCCACUUCACACUAAGGUACGCUUUAUAACACCACUCCACUUUACACUAAGGUACGCUUUAUAACACCACUCCACUUUACACUAAGGUACGCUUUAUAACACCACUCCACUUCACACUAAGGUACGCUUUAUAACACCACUCCACUUUACACUAAGGUACGCUUUAUAACACCACUCCACUUUACACUAAGGUACGCUUUAUAACACCACUCCACUUCACACUAAGGUACUCUUUAUAACACCACUCCACUUCACACUAAGGUACGCUUUAUAACACCACUCCACUUUACACUAAGGUACGCUUUAUUACACCACUCCACUUUACACUAAGGUACGCUUUAUAACACCACUCCACUUUACACUAAGGUAUGCUUUAUAACACCACUCCACUUCACACUAAGGUACGCUUUAUUACACCACUCCACUUCACACUAAGGUACGCUUUAUAACACCACUCCACUUUACACUAAGGUACGCUUUAUAACACCACUCCACUUCACACUAAGGUACGCUUUAUAACACCACUCCACUUUACACUAAGGUACGCUUUAUUACACCACUCCACUUCACACUAAGGUACGCUUUAUAACACCACUCCACUUCACACUAAGGUACGCUUUAUAACACCACUCCACUUUACACUAAGGUACGCUUUAUAACACCACUUCACACUAAGGUACGCUUUAUAACACCACUCCACUUUACACUAAGGUACGCUUUAUAACACCACUCCACUUUACACUAAGGUACGCUUUAUAACACCACUCCACUUCACACUAAGGUACGCUUUAUAACACCACUCCACUUUACACUAAGGUACGCUUUAUAACACCACUCCACUUCACACUAAGGUACGCUUUAUAACACCACUCCACUUUACACUAAGGUACGCUUUAUAACACCACUCCACUUCACACUAAGGUACGCUUUAUAACACCACUCCACUUUACACUAAGGUACGCUUUAUAACACCACUCCACUUUACACUAAGGUACGCUUUAUAACACCACUCCACUUUACACUAAGGUACGCUUUAUAACACCACUCCACUUUACACUAAGGUACGCUUUAUUACACCACUCCACUUCACACUAAGGUACGCUUUAUAACACCACUCCACUUCACACUAAGGUACGCUUUAUAACACCACUCCACUUCACACUAAGGUACGCUUUAUAACACCACUCCACUUUACACUAAGGUACGCUUUAUAACACCACUCCAAUUUACACUAAGGUACGCUUUAUAACACCACUCCACUUUACACUAAGGUACGCUUUAUAACACCACUCCACUUCACACUAAGGUACGCUUUAUAACACCACUCCACUUUACACUAAGGUACGCUUUAUAACACCACUCCACUUCACACUAAGGUACGCUUUAUAACACCACUCCACUUCACACUAAGGUACGCUUUAUAACACCACUCCACUUCACACUAAGGUACGCUUUAUAACACCACUCCACUUCACACUAAGGUACGCUUUAUACAGUGCCUUGCAGAAGUAUUCAUCCCCC